rnacentral:miRNA from 1 species
AGUUUUGGCGGGAAGUAUUAG